UACGAAGGGAGCGAGCGUUGUUCGGAAUCACUGGGCGUAAAGCGCACGUAGGCGGAUGGGUCAGUCAGGGGUGAAAUCCCGGAGCUCAACUUCGGAACUGCCUUUGAUACAGCACAUCUGGAGUCCGGAAGAGGUGGGUGGAAUUCCUAGUGUAGAGGUGAAAUUCGUAGAUAUUCGCAAGAACACCAGUGGCGAAGGCGGCUCACUGGCUCGGUACUGACGCUCAGGGGCGAAAGCGUGGGGAGCGAACCGG
rnacentral:rRNA from 1 species